AGCGGAGGAAGAUUCCGUAGGAGCGCCUGCGGAUAUGCAUGUAAAUAAGCGGAGGAAGUCUAUAUGUAACUUCUGAGUAAAACCAUAAAUAAAUCAGAACUUUCAACAACGGAUCUCUUGGUUCUGGCAUCGAUGAAGAACGCAGCAAAAUGCGAUAAGUAAUGUGAAUUGCAGAAUUCAGUGAAUCAUCGAAUCUUUGAACGCACAUUGCGCCCGCCAGUAUUCUGGCGGGCAUGCCUGUUCGAGCGUCAUUUCAACCCUCAAGCACAGCUUGGUGUUGGGACUCGCGUUAAUUCGCGUUCCCCAAAUUGAUUGGCGGUCACGUCGAGCUUCCAUAGCGUAGUAGUAAAACCCUCGUUACUGGUAAUCGUCGCGGCCACGCCGUUAAACCCCAACUUCUGAAUGUUGACCUCGGAUCAGGUAGGAAUACCCGCUGAACUUAAGCAUAUCAAUAGCCGGAGGAAAUCUCCAUCGGCUUAU
rnacentral:rRNA from 1 species